rnacentral:rRNA from 1 species
GUGAGGAAUAUUGCGCAAUGGAGGCAACUCUGACGCAGCCAUGCCGCGUGCAGGAAGAAGGCGCUACGCGUUGUAAACUGCUUUUAACCGGGAAGAAACCCCAGGACGUGUCCUGGGUUGACGGUACCGGAGGAAUAAGCACCGGCUAACUUCGUGCCAGCAGCCGCGGGAAUACGAAGGGUGCAAGCGUUAUCCGGAUUCAUUGGGUUUAAAGGGUGCGUAGGCGGAGCGUUAAGUCAGUGGUGAAAUCCUGCAGCUUAACUGUAGACUUGCCAUUGAUACUGGCGCUCUUGAGUGCGCUUGAAGUGGGCGGAAUGUGCCGUGUAGCGGUGAAAUGCUUAGAUAUGGCACAGAACACCAAUUGCGAAGGCAGCUCACUAAGGCGAUACUGACGCUGAGGCACGAAAGCGUGGGGAUCGAACAGGAUUAGAUACCCUAGUAGUCC